rnacentral:rRNA from 1 species
CCUACGGGGGGCUGCAGUGGGGAAUAUUGCGCAAUGGGCGAAAGCCUGACGCAGCCACGCCGCGUGAGCGAUGAAGGCCUUCGGGUCGUAAAGCUCUGUGGGGAGAGAAGAAUAAAGCCUGUGAAGAGCAGGCCUUGACGGUAUCUCCUUAGCAAGCACCGGCUAACUCCGUGCCAGCAGCCGCGGUAAUACGGAGGGUGCAAACGUUGCUCGGAAUCAUUGGGCGUAAAGGGCCCGUAGAGUGCCCGAUGAAAACCCUGGGCUCAACCCAGGAAGGGCAUCCAAAACUGGCGGGCUUGAAUCUCGGAGGGGGUCGGAGAAUUCCCGGUGUAGAGGUGAAAUUCGUAGAUAUCGGGAGGAAUACCAGUGGCGAAGGCGCCGACCUGGACGAAGAUUGACGCUGAGGUGCGAAAGCGUGGGGAGCAAACAGGAUUAGAUACCCCAGUAGUC